GUCAAACAAAGCCUCUUUCACACAUUUUGAAUUUGAGACUUAUCAGAGGACUAAGCCAAAAAGUUGGGCCGAAAAAGGCAGACGUCCUGAGAGGAGUCUGCAAGCCAUAUCCACACGGCAGUAGGAGCCACAACUAAGCGGGAGCCAUGGAGGAGAGAAAAGGAAUGCAGAGAGGAUUUAGCAGCACGAGCAGAGAAAGCAGGGCAGAGCGUGGCUGAGUCAUCACACUGGCAGAGCACUAGAGAAGGAGCAACAGAUGCUUGCCGUUGAAGCAAUGUCAAGAAGAACAGGUGGCUGGAGCAGCUCGAUUUUCCUUCGAGACCUGGAUGUAUGCAGGACCCACCAUGCUCAUUUGGGAUACACCAUUGUGUUGGCCACAGGUUCAGGGAUGGACAUGUGAGGCGGGCCAGGUCGCUGAGGCUUAGUUCUGGGACUGUGGUGGGCUUUGGUAGGAAAGGAAGAUUGCCGCUUGUAAAGGUGAUUCUAAGCCCAGCGUUCCUGGGGACUACCAAGGAUGCUCAUGUUGAGAAUGAAGCAGCUACUAUAGAGGGGACAUGGAGCUGAGAAAUCAGCUGAAGCUUUGAUAAUAUUCUUUCAGCCCCACAAUCAACUGAUUCCUGAAUCCCAGAACCCCUCCUGGAUUUAUAUGGGUAAUAAAUCUUCUUCCUCCCUUCCCCCACUUUUUUUUUUCCUGAGUUAGUUUGAAUUGAGUUUUCAGUCACUUGCACAGAGUGCAAAAUCUUGACUCAUGUGCAGACGAUUAGAAUUGUUCUCAUUGGUUAACUUAAGAAUAAGCAAGCUUAAUAAAGUUAAGAUUAUAAAAGCACGUUUGUACUAAUGAAACAUCACCCGCUUGUUUUUGUUGUAUACAUUCAUGUUUUACAUAAGAAUUACUUGAAACAAGCUCUGUUGAAAUAUGAAAAUUAAAAAAUAAAUGUAUAAAAAUAUAAAACCUCUACAACCCCCCGGCCUACAAAUAAAGUCAAAUCCACGUGUAGCAAGUCAUUCCAGACCAUUCGUAGUUGGUCCUGACCUCCUUUCCCUCCUCAGACCUUUCAUUCCUUCCAUGCCACAUUUCUAGAACUCUGUCCAGCUUUCUCGGCUCCUCUGCUCUUCUGCUUCUUGCUCAGUGUCUGUUCUCUGCUCAAAACACCACCUUUUUCUGCUCUUUUUUUUCACUCAUGCUUUAAGGUUCAGCUAAAGAGCACAUCCUUGUUAAAGCCUUCCAGAGUCUUCCCAUAGAGAAUUCCUUGCUCUUCCUUCUGCUCAGCCAUCCUCACAGUCCGACGUGUAUUACUGCUAUGUGGACUUAAGUGCAUUCUGUCCAGUCUGGAGUCUCACAGGCAGGGCCUACAUUUGGUUCAUCUGUGUAUCCCUCCUGCUUGAAGGCUGUCUGCCACAUAGUAGAUAUUCAAUGCAUAUUUGUCAAAUGAAAUUUCAAUAUGUGGCAUCAGG
rnacentral:lncRNA from 1 species